GUGGGGAAUAUUGGACAAUGGGCGAAAGCCUGAUCCAGCCAUGUCGCGUGUGUGAAGAAGGUCUUCGGAUUGUAAAGCACUUUAAGUUGGGAGGAAGGGCAGUAAGUUAAUACCUUGCUGUUUUGACGUUACCGACAGAAUAAGCACCGGCUAACUUCGUGCCAGCAGCCGCGGUAAUACGAAGGGUGCAAGCGUUAAUCGGAAUUACUGGGCGUAAAGCGCGCGUAGGUGGUCUUGUAAGUUGGAGGUGAAAUCCCCGGGCUCAACCUGGGAACUGCCUCCAAAACUGCAUGACUAGAGUACGGUAGAGGGUAGUGGAAUUUCCUGUGUAGCGGUGAAAUGCGUAGAUAUAGGAAGGAACACCAGUGGCGAAGGCGACUACCUGGACUGAUACUGACACUGAGGUGCGAAAGCGUGGGGAGCAAACAGGAUUAGAAACCCUUGUAGUCC
rnacentral:rRNA from 1 species